UUCUCCUAAAAUCGCAAGAAAAAAAAUGUAAAAAACCAACAAAACCUCGUUAAAAAGACACAAAACUCAUCUCCAAGUUACCAUGAUCUGGGAAGUCAACUCGUUAUCCGUCAGUCUCUCGGUGUUUGUGAUACUUUGCACUUUAUGGCUAACUGGAAAAUUCUUCAAUGAAGACGCAAUUUACUUGUAUGAGUCAUAUCGCAACAAAAAGCAUUCAUGGCGAACAAUAAGACUCCUGAAGACGUCUGUCUUUUGUUCCAUUUGCGAGAUAAUGGUGCCUUCGAAUGGGAUCUUCUGCGAAUGCUGUGGCAUUUGUUGUGACGUUGCCUGCGUAAAAAAGGCAGAAAAGAUGCUGCCAUGCAAGGAGAAAAGAUUAUCGGAACGCGCCAAACCGCACGAGCAUUUAUGGGUGCACGGAAAUUUGCCCGCCAAUAUGGAGUGUUACAUCUGCAAGGAGGACAUGGAAAGUCAGGAAACGGGUCCCGGGUUGUUUGGGUUUCGGUGUGCUUGGUGUCAACGAUGCGCUCAUACCGAUUGUUUUGAGUUUGUAGAAGAUGAAUGUGAUUUUGGUUCCUUCAAAGAUUUGAUUGUCCCACCGAGCGCGAUGGUGGUUUCACGUACUCGAGGUGCCCCAAAACUCCAUUUGACGGGUUUAAAUCCGCCAGAAACGCCGAAUUGGUCACCUUUGAUAAUUAUUUCGAACACAAAAAGCGGCAGUCAAGAAGGAAGUCAGAUCGUUUCGACGUACCGAGCGUUGCUGAAUCCCCUGCAAGUCAUGGAAAUCGGUUCUCAUGGUCCGAAUGACGCUCUCCAAUGGGCAAUUAUCGCAAAUCCGGUCAAAUGCAAGAUUUUAGUGGCAGGCGGUGAUGGAACUGUUGGUUGGGUAUUAAAUACAAUCCAGUCCCUGGGCAUCGAGAACGCUGAAGUGGGAAUUAUGCCAUUAGGAACGGGCAACGAUUUAUCUCGAGUGCUUGGAUGGGGCGAAGCAGCUGCCGCUGACUGUGAACCGCUUCAAUUCUUACAAAGAGUACGCACCGCAGUGCCCGUCCCACUCGACCGAUGGGAAAUUAGUGUAAACAAAUCCACGCGAAUUCCCUUGAGAACGCGGCGCCAUCAAACGUUCUUCAUGUACAACUAUUUCAGUGUCGGCGUCGAUGCCCUCGUUACCCUAAACUUCCACAAAGCACGUGAUAGCGCGUUUUACAUCUUCAGUAGUCGCGUCGUGAAUAAACUCUUGUACCUCUUCUACGGCGGCCAUCAAGUGCUGCAACAAGACUGCUUCGAACUCGAGAAAAAAGUUGAAUUAUGGCUCGAUGGCGAGCGAUUGGAAACGUUGCCGGAGCUGCAAUCUGUCGUUAUCACGAAUAUCGAUAGUUGGGGAGCCGGCGUGCAUUUGUAUGACUUGAGCAAGGAGCCAGACGAGGAACACACUCAAAGUUUCUCCGACGGGCUGUUGGAGGUUUAUGGUAUUAAUUCGUCAUUCCAUAUCGCGCAGCUGCAAGUGGGCCUGAGUAAGCCGGUGAGACUGGGCGUUGCGAAGGAAAUUCGCAUAAAAAUAUUGUCGCCGCUUCCGGUGCAGUGUGAUGGAGAGCCGUGGGAACAGACGCAGUGCGAUAUCGUCAUUAAACAUCACAGCCAGGCUACGGUUUUGCAGAACAAAACUUCACCGCUUUGAAUUUUUUGCACUUAAAAUGUUCAAAAAAAAUUCUCGAAUUGCUUUAAAAAUUCUGAAACUCAUUGAAAAUGAUAGAAAUAGAACUGUCAAAGCAAUCUAAGAAUUUUUUUUGGGAAUUAAUUAUUGCCAAAGAACCGCCUCGAAUGUAUUUAUCUCCAAAAGUUUUUGACUUAAGCUAACUUAUUUUAUGUAUAUUGAGACUAAAAAGUAUAUU